GGGUUGUGAGGUUAAGCGACUAAGCGUACACGGUGGAUGCCCUGGCAGUCAGAGGCGAUGAAGGACGUGCUAAUCUGCGAAAAGCGUCGGUAAGGUGAUAUGAACCGUUAUAACCGGCGAUGUCCGAAUGGGGAAACCCAGUGCAAUUCGUUGCACUAUCGUUAACUGAAUACAUAGGUUAACGAGGCGAACCGGGGGAACUGAAACAUCUAAGUACCCCGAGGAAAAGAAAUCAACCGAGAUUCCCCCAGUAGCGGCGAGCGAACGGGGAGCAGCCCAGAGUCUGAAUCAGCUUGUGUGUUAGUGGAACGGUCUGGAAAGUCCGACGGUACAGGGUGAUAGUCCCGUACACCAAAAUGCACAGGCUGUGAACUCGAAGAGUAGGGCGGGACACGUGGUAUCCUGUCUGAAUAUGGGGACCAUCCUCCAAGGCUAAAUACUCCUGACUGACCGAUAGUGAACCAGUACCGUGAGGGAAAGGCGAAAAGAACCCCGGCGAGGGGAGUGAAAAGAACCUGAAACCGUGUACGUACAAGCAGUGGGAGCACCUUCGGGUGUGACUGCGUACCUUUGUAUAAUGGGUCAGCGACUUAUAUUCUGUAGCAAGGUUAACCGUAUAGGGAGCCGCAGGGAAACCGAGUCUUAACUGGGCGUUAAGUUGCAGGGUAUAGACCCGAAACCCGGUGAUCUAGCCAUGGGCAGGUUGAAGGUUGGGUAACACUAACUGGAGGACCGAACCGACUAAUGUUGAAAAAUUAGCGGAUGACUUGUGGCUGGGGGUGAAAGGCCAAUCAAACCGGGAGAUAGCUGGUUCUCCCCGAAAGCUAUUUAGGUAGCGCCUCGUGAACUCAUCUUCGGGGGUAGAGCACUGUUUCGGCUAGGGGGUCAUCCCGACUUACCAACCCGAUGCAAACUACGAAUACCGAAGAAUGUUAUCACGGGAGACACACGGCGGGUGCUAACGUCCGUCGUGAAGAGGGAAACAACCCAGACCGCCAGCUAAGGUCCCAAAGUCAUGGUUAAGUGGGAAACGAUGUGGGAAGGCACAGACAGCCAGGAUGUUGGCUUAGAAGCAGCCAUCAUUUAAAGAAAGCGUAAUAGCUCACUGGUCGAGUCGGCCUGCGCGGAAGAUGUAACGGGGCUAAACCAUGCACCGAAGCUGCGGCAGCGACACUAUGUGUUGUUGGGUAGGGGAGCGUUCUGUAAGCCUGCGAAGGUGUGCUGUGAGGCAUGCUGGAGGUAUCAGAAGUGCGAAUGCUGACAUAAGUAACGAUAAAGCGGGUGAAAAGCCCGCUCGCCGGAAGACCAAGGGUUCCUGUCCAACGUUAAUCGGGGCAGGGUGAGUCGACCCCUAAGGCGAGGCCGAAAGGCGUAGUCGAUGGGAAACAGGUUAAUAUUCCUGUACUUGGUGUUACUGCGAAGGGGACGGAGAAGGCUAUGUUAGCCGGGCGACGGUUGUCCCGGUUUAAGCAUGUAGGCUGAUUGUCCAGGCAAAUCCGGAUAAUCAAGGCUGAGGUGUGAUGACGAGGCACUACGGUGCUGAAGUAACAAAUGCCCUGCUUCCAGGAAAAGCCUCUAAGCAUCAGGUAACAUCAAAUCGUACCCCAAACCGACACAGGUGGUCAGGUAGAGAAUACCAAGGCGCUUGAGAGAACUCGGGUGAAGGAACUAGGCAAAAUGGUGCCGUAACUUCGGGAGAAGGCACGCUGGUGUGUAGGUGAAGUCCCUGCGGAUGGAGCUGAGACCAGUCGAAGAUACCAGCUGGCUGCAACUGUUUAUUAAAAACACAGCACUGUGCAAACACGAAAGUGGACGUAUACGGUGUGACGCCUGCCCGGUGCCGGAAGGUUAAUUGAUGGGGUUAUCCGUAAGGAGAAGCUCUUGAUCGAAGCCCCGGUAAACGGCGGCCGUAACUAUAACGGUCCUAAGGUAGCGAAAUUCCUUGUCGGGUAAGUUCCGACCUGCACGAAUGGCGUAAUGAUGGCGAGGCUGUCUCCACCCGAGACUCAGUGAAAUUGAACUCGCUGUGAAGAUGCAGUGUACCCGCGGCAAGACGGAAAGACCCCGUGAACCUUUACUAUAGCUUGACACUGAACAUUGAGCCUUGAUGUGUAGGAUAGGUGGGAGGCUUUGAAGCGUGGACGCCAGUCUGCGUGGAGCCAACCUUGAAAUACCACCCUUUAAUGUUUGAUGUUCUAACGUUGGCCCCUGACCGGGGUUGCGGACAGUGUCUGGUGGGUAGUUUGACUGGGGCGGUCUCCUCCCAAAGCGUAACGGAGGAGCACGAAGGUUAGCUAAUCCUGGUCGGACAUCAGGAGGUUAGUGCAAUGGCAUAAGCUAGCUUGACUGCGAGCGUGACGGCGCGAGCAGGUGCGAAAGCAGGUCAUAGUGAUCCGGUGGUUCUGAAUGGAAGGGCCAUCGCUCAACGGAUAAAAGGUACCCGGGGAUAACAGGCUGAUACCGCCCAAGAGUUCAUAUCGACGGCGGUGUUUGGCACCUCGAUGUCGGCUCAUCACAUCCGGGCUGAAGUAGGUCCCAAGGGUAUGGCUGUUCGCCAUUUAAAGUGGUACGCGAGCUGGGUUUAGAACGUCGUGAGACAGUUCGGUCCCUAUCUGCCGUGGGCGCUGGAGAAUUGAGGGGGGCUGCUCCUAGUACGAGAGGACCGGAGUGGACGCAUCACUGGUGUUCGGGUUGUCAUGCCAAUGGCACUGCCCGGUAGCUAAAUGCGGAAGAGAUAAGUGCUGAAAGCAUCUAAGCACGAAACUUGCCCCGAGAUGAGUUCUCCCUGAGACUUUAAGUCUCCUGAAGGAACGUUAAAGACGAUGACGUUGAUAGGCCGGGUGUGUAAGCGCAGCGAUGCGUUGAGCUAACCGGUACUAAUGAACCGUGAGGCUUAACCUUACAACGCCGAAG
rnacentral:rRNA from 1 species